AGAGGUCUCAAGCGUUGUUCGGAAUCACUGGGCGUAAAGCGUGCGUAGGCUGUUUCGUAAGUCGUGUGUGAAAGGCGCGGGCUCAACCCGCGGACGGCACAUGAUACUGCGAGGCUAGAGUAAUGGAGGGGGAACCGGAAUUCUCGGGGUAGCAGUGAAAUGCGUAGAUAUCGAGAGGAACACUCGUGGCGAAGGCGGGUUCCUGGACAUUAACUGACGCUGAGGCACGAAGGCCAGGGGAGCGAAAGGGAUUANAUACCCCUGUAGUCCUGGCAGUAAACGGUGCACGCUUGGUGUGCGGNGAAUCGACCCCCUGCGUGCCGGANCUAACGCGUUAANCGUGCCGCCUGGNGAGU
rnacentral:rRNA from 1 species